rnacentral:rRNA from 1 species
GUGGGGAAUAUUGGACAAUGGGGGCUACCCUGAUCCAGCCAUGCCGCGUGAGUGAUGACGGCCUUCGGGUUGUAAAGCUCUUUUACAUGGGAAGAUAAUGACGGUACCAUGAGAAUAAGCACCGGCAAACUUCGUGCCAGCAGCCGCGGUAAUACGAAGGGUGCAAGCGUUGUUCGGAAUUACUGGGUGUAAAGGGCGUGUAGGCGGAUUAGUUAGUUAGUGGUGAAAUCCUUGGGCUCAACCUGAGAACUGCCAUUGAUACAGCUAGUCUGGAGUAUUAGAGAGGAUGACGGAAUAUCCAGUGUAGAGGUGAAAUUCGUAGAUAUUGGAUAGAACACCGGUGGCGAAGGCGGUCAUCUGGACAGGUACUGACGCUGAGGCGCGAAAGCGUGGGGAGCAAACAGGAUUAGAAACCCUGGUAGUCC